UUCGGCCACUAGCUUGAUUCCGCCGAUAACCAGGCUCGGUCCCUCUUGAAAAAAAAACUCACAUGGUAAUGACUCUCCCUUAAAACAUGGUAAACCACUGGAAUCUCCUCGAAUCAAACAAUGUUCAUCAUAGUAGAGGAGACCUCCUUGAAUCUCCUCGUGAACAUGGUGCACCCAUAACAGAAAAAGGAGACCACUUGAUGCUCAUGAAAAAAAAAGAGUACCAUAGUAUAGGAACAAAAUCAUGAGGAGCAAAUAAUGAAAGAAAUAAUGAUAUGAAUAUCAGGGUCAAAAUCAGGGUGUGACA
rnacentral:lncRNA from 1 species